CUUAGAGUUUGAUCCUGGCUCAGAACGAACGCUGGCGGCGUGCUUAACACAUGCAAGUCGAACGUGAUUGAGAGCUUGCUCUCAUGAAAGUGACGCACGGGUGAGUAACACGUGGAUAAUCUGCCUGGCGAUUCGGGAUAACACUUCGAAAGGGGUGCUAAUACCGGAUAAGCCCACGGUCUCUUCGGAGAGCGCGGGAAAAGGGGGCCUCUGUAUAUGCUCCUGUCGCUAGAUGAGUCC
rnacentral:rRNA from 1 species